UUAGAGAUAAGAGGGUGCUAGCUUGCUAGAACUUAGAGACAGGUGCUGCACGGCUGUCGUCAGCUCGUGUCGUGAGAUGUUGGGUUAAGUCCCGCAACGAGCGCAACCCACGUAUUUAGUUGCUAACGGUUCGGCCGAGCACUCUAAAUAGACUGCCUUCGUAAGGAGGAGGAAGGUGUGGACGACGUCAAGUCAUCAUGGCCCUUAUGCCCAGGGCGACACACGUGCUACAAUGGCAUAUACAAUGAGACGCAAUACCGCGAGGUGGAGCAAAUCUAUAAAAUAUGUCCCAGUUCGGAUUGUUCUCUGCAACUCGAGAGCAUGAAGCCGGAAUCGCUAGUAAUCGUAGAUCAGCCAUGCUACGGUGAAUACGUUCCCGGGUCUUGUACUCACCGCCCGUCACACCAUGGGAGUUGAUUUCACUCGAAGCCGGAAUACUAAACUAGUUACCGUCCACAGUGGAAUCAGCGACUGGGGUGAAGUCGUAACAAGGUAACCGUAGGAGAACCUGCGGUUGGAUCACCUCCUUU
rnacentral:rRNA from 1 species